CGCGCCAUCCAAUAGCUCCACUCCCCCGGACGCAUCUUCUCCGCCAAUUUUGGAGGCCGAGGGUGCUCAUUUUUCCCCAGACCCGUCCCGAAGCUUCGCGAGCGGCCUUGUAGCAGGCGGAUCCAGUUGGUUCCAACCCCGGUGAGCCUCGGAAUGGCGCGAGGGACAAACGCACACGCCGGUGUCACGGCCAAGGGGUUUGCUCGAUUUGCUCCAGUGGGCGUAUGAGAAGAAAAGGGUGGCACUUGAUUCCGGCUGGCGGAAUUGCAUCCGGGGAAGAUGGAUGCUUGGAGUUCUUCGUCGUCCUCUUCGUCAUAUGAUUUUGACAUAGAGGAGAUGAUUUUGGACGACGAUGUCUACAACCUAGUGUUGUUGCAUCUAAUGGACAAAUUUGAAAAGGGCCCUAAGAGAAAGCGUUGCCGAUCCACGGUUGGCCGGCUUUGCAUUCCGCGCAACCGAGCUCUUGCGGACAAGAUGGUCAUGAAGGACUACUUCGCCAAGGUACAGCCUGGAGAGCAAAAAGCAGGAGUUCUAGAUGAGACAAUGAAGGGCGAGGGUGGCGCAGCUUAAAUCAAUUAUUCCUUAGCAUGCUUGUCUACUCAGAUAUUUAUGAUGCUGCAUUCUAUCGACAACCACCUAUUUCUUUAUAUAUAUUUUUUGUUUGUACCUAGUAUUAUUUAUUGCAACCAUGAUCAAUGGCUUUGCUGAAUGGGAUUGAAAAAGAAUGUGGUGGACUGACAAUUCGACAUGCAUGGUAUUGUUUUAUCUAGAGGUAAAUACACCACAAGUGGCUAAACUUGUCUGGCGUGUUCAAUUUAGUGCCUAAAGUUGCAAAUACGUGAAAGUGGUGCCAUAACUUGUCCAAAUGGUGUAUAUCCCAUGCCUUCGCUCGUAUGCCACCGUAUGUGCCACCCGCGUGGCUUGACAGUUGGUGUAUGGCCCACAUGUCAGUGGGUGUGAGUGUGGGCAGAGCUGGUGUUGUGGUUAUUUUGCAGAAAACCACUUGGGAUUUAAUUAAUUAUCCCAAGAAGUCCCUCCAACAGCGAGAAGUGAUUGCGUGUUAUGUUUGCGCAUAGGUACCUAGAAGGCUGUGGCCUUUCAUUCUAACUCCUCGCCGCUUCGUUUCCUCGUCUCUGCUUUCUCUUUCGCACGGUUCGCAAUCAAUCCGAGGCUGCGGUGGCGGAGGUCGUGUGGCACGGCGACCGGCGUCAGAGGCAAUGGACGACCCGCGUCGUCGUCGUCCAGACGAAGCAGCUCCUUCGUAUGGUAACUUGCACCCUCCCUGUUUUCCUUCAUGACGAGUAUCUCUUCCUCGUCCAUGACAUCGUGUAGGGUUUGCCGGAGUGAGAGUAAUUUUCUGGUGUGCUUGAUCUUCAUCUUUCGUCCAUGCCAUGCGAGAUAUUGUGUAUGUGGAUUGUUGCGGAGUAGAUAUGGGGACAUUGUUCCUGAAUUUUGCUAUGGUUUAUUUGGGGGUUUUGAAAGUAGGCGCCUCUUCCUGUCAAAGUAGUUGGUCAUGCUUGUGUGCGCAACAAAUUAUCCUAUAAUAUUGCUCAGAUGUGAUCAUUUGCCUUGUUGGUCAUUUCUGCUCGAAUCUGGAGAUUGUUCGAACUAAAAAUUAGAAAGAUUUGUAACUGAAUUUUGGGUACAGAUGAUGUACAGUUAACUGAAUUUUGGUGACACCUGAUUGUAUAGUUAACUGAAUUUUCGUGACAGGUGAUGUACUGAAUGUGUGCGCUGCACUGAACUGAAUAUAUGUGCUGAGUGUGUGCAAGUGCAAUGCAUUAGAGAUGUAGUGACUGUGUGCAGUGUAUGUAAAGUAGAUAACUAAAUUGUUCUUCAUAGUUAACUGAUAUUUUGUUGUAUUGAAUAGUACAGAUCACUGAAUAUUGGUGCAGCAUAGUCAUCUGAAUAUUUCUGCAGCACAGAUCACUGAAUAUUGCUGCAGAUGAUCUUCAUGAUUUCCUCUCCCUUUGAUUUGCACUUAUAGAUCACAUCUAGUGUUAGUUCAUGAAUGAACUUCUGCUGCAUUAUAGUUCAUGAAUGAACUGCUUCUUUUGUUGGGGUUCAGAGACAACAUAGACCCUUUUAUUUUGCUUUGGUUCACAGACAAAAUUGUGAUGCAAUGGUACUGCUGUGUACUGCUAUGAAGUUCAUUUUGGCAUGAAAACUCUGAUGAUAUGUUGUGUACUGCGGUCUAAUUUAUAUCUUUGCAUUCUGAUAUCAUGUUGGGGGUUAAAAGAUGAGUGUUGUGUAGUGCUGUCUAAUUUAUAUCUUUGCAUUAUGGCCAAUUUAUAUCUUUGCAUUCUUAUAUCAUGAAAAUUCUGAUGAUAUGUUGUGUUCAAAAUUAUUAUACCUUUUCAUAAUAUUUAUAACUUUAUAACUUAACAUUUUUGAUAAUUUAUGAUAUGCUAUGUUCAGCAGUAUUUCACUCUGCAGUAUGUGCAUGUAAGCUGUUCAGCUUGUUCAAACAGUAAACUGCAGCUUCUGGUCACCGGCGCCAACCAUCUGUAACAACACAGGAGAAGUGGGGAGCAGACAAAUGACGCCGGCCUUCUGGCCUCCUCGUCUCCACUGCUCGCCGGCCAAACAGCAACGACGAACCUGAGAAGAUUCCGCCGCCGCCGUCGUGUGGAUAGAGUUAGGGAUUUCAUUUCAUGAUUUGGGAAUUAGGGGAAUUAGCCAUCAGAGGGUUAUACACUUCUAGGGGAUUUUUGCGACAUUUAAUUAAAAUGCAGGGGUUCCUUGUAAAAAGACAGCACGCACAGCUCACAGUGCGCCCGCAGCCACUGACGCACCGUAGCCCGUCUUCAAGCUGUGGCCAGUGGAAAAGCAAAAGAACAAGAGGGAGAUGGCUUCAGCAUAAAUGGGGACUCGCAGCAUGUCGACUUUUUUGGGGGAGAGUUCUGGAUCGGGGUGCUCAAGCCUCAAGGGGGUCAUGGAGUUCAAUGUUUCCGGAUUCGAUGGUUUUUGGUAGGCAGUGUGUUCAUUGCAUUGCUUGCAGACAUGUAUCGAUGCAGGCACAACACUCAUUUUUAUGGCACUUGUGAUUAAUUAGGUCACCAGACCUCCAGUAAUGUGUCACUCAUGAA